rnacentral:rRNA from 1 species
AUUGAACGCUGGCGGCAUGCCUUACACAUGCAAGUCGAACGGUAACGGGCCUUCGGGUGCCGACGAGUGGCGAACGGGUGAGUAAUACAUCGGAACGUGCCCGAUCGUGGGGGAUAACGAGGCGAAAGCUUUGCUAAUACCGCAUACGAUCUACGGAUGAAAGCAGGGGACCGCAAGGCCUUGCGCGGACGGAGCGGCCGAUGGCAGAUUAGGUAGUUGGUGGGAUAAAACCUUACCAAGCCGACGAUCUGUAGCUGGUCUGAGAGGAUGAUAAGCCACACUGGGACUGAGACACGGCCCAGACUCCUACGGGAGGCAGCAGUGGGGAAUUUUGGACAAUGGGCGCAAGCCUGAUCCAGCCAUGCCGCGUGCAGGAUGAAGGCCUUCGGGUUGUAAACUGCUUUUGUACGGAACGAAAAGCCUUCUUUUAAUACAGGAGGGUCAUGACGGUACCGUAAGAAUAAGCACCGGCUAACUACGUG